UUAGCCAUGAGGAUCCGUACUGCAAACCAACUCAGGUGGGUGGGAUGAAUAAUCCGAGGCGCUCGAGAGAACUCUGGCCAAGGAACUCGGCAAAAUGACCCCGUAACUUCGGAAGAAGGGGUGCUUUUUCAGGUGACCAUUUUUACAUUGGAAGCCAGAGGAAGCCGCAGUGAAUUGGUGGUGGCGACUGUUUACUAAAAACAUAGGUCUGUGCGAAGUCCUAAAGACGACGUAUACGGACUGACGCCUGCCCGGUGCUGGAAGGUUAAAAGGAGGGGUCAGCGCAAGCAAAGCUCCGAAUUGAAGCCCCAGUAAACGGCGGCCGUAACUAUAACGGUCCUAAGGUAGCGAAAUUCCUUGUCGGGUAAGUUCCGACCUGCACGAAUGGCGUAACGAUCUCCACACUGUCUCGGCUAGAGACUCGGUGGAAUUGCAGUCGCGGGGAAAAUUCCGUGUACCCGCAGAAAGACGGAAAGACCCUGUGCACCUUUACUAUAGCUUGACAUUGGAUUUUGGGCCUGCAUGUGUAGGAUAGGUGGGAGGCUGUGAACCCUGUACGCCAGUAUGGGGGGAGCCAUCCUUGAAAUACCACCCUUGCAUGUUUAAGAUCCUAACUUCUUCCGGUUAUCCCGGAGAAAGACAGUGUCUGGCGGGUAGUUUGACUGGGGCGGUCGCCUCCUAAAGUGUAACGGAGGCAUGCAAAGGUUCCCUCAGCCUGAUCGGAAACCAGGCGCUGAGUGCAAACGCAUAAGGGAGCUUGACUGUAAGAGAGACAUCUCGAACAGGAACGAAAGUUGGCGUUAGUGAUCCGGUGGUCCCGAAUGGAAGGGCCAUCGCUCAUUGGAUAAAAGGUACGCCGGGGAUAACAGGCUGAUCGCAUCCAAGAGUUCACAUCGACGAUGCGGUUUGGCACCUCGAUGUCGGCUCAUCACAUCCUGGGGCUGAAGCAGGUCCCAAGGGUACGGCUGUUCGCCGUUUAAAGUGGUACGCGAGCUGGGUUUAAAACGUCGUGAGACAGUUUGGUCCCUAUCUUCUGUGGGCGAAGGAGAAUUGAGAGGGCCUGUCCCUAGUACGAGAGGACCGGGAUGGACGCACCCCUGGUGAUCCUGUUGUCGCGCCAGCGGCAUAGCAGGGUAGCUAUGUGCGGAAGGGAUAACCGCUGAAAGCAUCUAAGCGGGAAGCCUGCCUCAAGAUAAGUUCUCCCCUCGAAAGAGCUGAAGGGCCCGGGUAGACUACCCGGUCGAUAGGCUGGAGGUGUAAGCGCGGCGACGUGCUCAGCUGACCAGUACUAAUAGCCCGAGCGGCUUAUUUUU
rnacentral:rRNA from 1 species